rnacentral:rRNA from 1 species
AUGUUAUCAGGUGUGUAUCAGCUUCCUUGUAUCGAGGGUUCUGGAGAAUUCCUUGUCGAUAAGAAGGAGCAAGGUUUGGUACAACCGAGGGAUCUGAACAAAAUUAGGGGAGAGCUUUCUGUUAGGUUUCUGGAGAAUGUAAAAAACUGGGAGGAGGCUGCAAAGUCUCAUCUAGACUUGAAGGAGCACAUCUCUAAGUUGGAGCUAGAAUGGGGAUCAUGUGAUGGUGCUCAUGAUAUGGACAAGGGCUUUGAGGUGCUUGAUGUAUUAAAGCCACACCGCAAUCUUGAUGACCUAACUAUCAGUGGGUACCCAGGUGUCAAGUCUCCUUCUUGGCUGGAGUCUGAUUGGCUGAGAAGAUUGAAAUUGAUUUGCCUACGAGAUUGUAAUAGAUGGGAGGUCCUUCCACCUUUAGGGGAUCUCCCCUUACUCGGUACUCUUGAAGUGCGGCGAAUGGAAGAACUAAAAGCACUCAGCCAGGAAUUCUUUGGUCAUGCUGGAUUCCCUUCUCUGGAAAGAUUGCUUCUGGAACGCCUACCUAAAUUGGAGUGGUGUCUUGUGGACAAUGAUAAAGUGUUACAGAAUCUCAGACAUCUCUCUGUUGCUGGCUGUCCACGGCUCAGAUCAUAUCCUACCCAUCCUCGUACACUCAGACAUAUAGCUGUACUUGACAAGGAAAAAAUCCAUUUUAAGCUUCAGAUUGACAGUUUUGAACUAUCAAGGUCAUUUUGUCACCUGGUAUCAAGCUCCUUCCAUGUCUUGCGCUCUCAUCACCUAGAGUCUAUAGAAGAUAUGGAGAUCUAUGUUAACUGUUUGGUACACAUGCCCAUGAUAGUCUUUCACAAUAUGAAAUCACUCAAAAAGUUAAAAAUAUUUGGCAUUGAUGAGCAGAAUAAUUGCUCAGUGAUUACCACACUGUUGGGUGAGAACGGAUGUCCUGUGCUUCCUUUGUCACUUAAAUGCCUUGCAUUAGAAAAGUGCUACCUGCAACCAUCCUCUUUCUCCAAGUUAUUGAAUAAUCUUUCAUCUCUUGAAACAAUACGUCUAUCAAAAUGUGGCUCUCUUGAGAUACCGAGUCUACCGGUAAGUCUGCACCUAUUGAGGAUGCUGAAACGGUUGGACAUUUAUAUUUGUGAUUGGAUAUCAUCUUUUGAGGGGUCAGAAGCACUGUUGUCCCUUGAAGAGAUGAAGAUAGGCUAUUGUUAUGAUCUGGAAUAUGUACCGUACUUAGAUGAGAUGCCAUGUCUUCAGAAACUACAUUUGUCUGCGUGCCCUCAAGUUAUGCGAUUAUCUAAAGUAGGCCACCAGACAGCCCUGAAGGAGCUGGUUGUAAGAUCUUGUGAUGGAUUAUCUUCUCUGCGACAGCUGUGUGACCUGGUUUCGCUUGUGAAGCUGACGAUUACCGAUUGUUCUGAUUUAUUGUGGCUUCCCGAUAUGGAUGGUUUUUAUUCACUUCGGGUUCUCUCGAUUAAUCAGUGCCCCCGGCUGAGGUCACUGCCACGGAGUGGUCUUCCUGUAUCACUUGAAACAUUUUUCCUGUCUAGAUGCCAUCAAGCACUGGAGGAGCAGUUUCAGCGGAAGGAAGGUCCAGAUUGGAAUAAGUUUGCGGCCCUUCCAGGAUGCAAGUGGAUAGAUAGUAGGUGGUAA